rnacentral:rRNA from 1 species
CCUACGGGAGGCAGCAGUGAGGAAUAUUGGUCAAUGGGCGCGAGCCUGAACCAGCCAAGUAGCGUGAAGGAUGACUGCCCUACGGGUUGUAAACUUCUUUUAUAAAGGAAUAAAGUGAGGCACGUGUGCCUUUUUGUAUGUACUUUAUGAAUAAGGAUCGGCUAACUCCGUGCCAGCAGCCGCGGUAAUACGGAGGAUCCGCGCGUUGUCCGGAAUUAUUGGGGGUAAAGGGAGCGUAGAUGGGUUGUUAAGGCAGUUGUGAAAGUUUGCGGCUCAACCGUAAGAUUGCAAUAGGUACUGGCGAGGUGGAGUACAGGAGAGGAAAGCGGAAUUCCUAGUGUAGCGGUGAAAUGCGUAGAUAUCAGGAAGAACACCGGUGGCGAAGGCGGCUUGCUAAACUGAAACUGACACUGAGGCUCGAAAGUGUGGGGAGCAAACAGGAUUAGAUACCCGUGUAGUC